rnacentral:rRNA from 1 species
UACGUAGGGCGCAAGCGUUGUCCGGAAUUACUGGGCGUAAAGGGCUCGUAGGCGGCCAACUAAGUCAGACGUGAAAUCCCCUCGGCUUAACCGGGGACUGCGUCUGAUACUGGAUGGCUUGAGUUUGGGAGGAGGGAUGCGGAAUUCCAGGUGUAGCGGUGAAAUGCGUAGAUAUCAGGAGGAACACCGGUGGCGAAGGCGGGUCUCUGGGACGUUACUGACGCUGAGACGCGAAAGCGUGGGGAGCAAACAGG